GAGUGGCGGACGGGUGAGUAAUGUCUGGGAAACUGCCUGAUGGAGGGGGAUAACUACUGGAAACGGUAGCUAAUACCGCAUAACGUCGCAAGACCAAAGAGGGGGACCUUAGGGCCUCUUGCCAUCGGAUGUGCCCAGAUGGGAUUAGCUAGUAGGUGGGGUAACGGCUCACCUAGGCGACGAUCCCUAGCUGGUCUGAGAGGAUGACCAGCCACACUGGAACUGAGACACGGUCCAGACUCCUACGGGAGGCAGCAGUGGGGAAUAUUGCACAAUGGGCGCAAGCCUGAUGCAGCCAUGCCGCGUGUAUGAAGAAGGCCUUCGGGUUGUAAAGUACUUUCAGCGGGGAGGAAGGGAGUAAAGUUAAUACCUUUGCUCAUUGACGUUACCCGCAGAAGAAGCACCGGCUAACUCCGUGCCAGCAGCCGCGGUAAUACGGAGGGUGCAAGCGUUAAUCGGAAUUACUGGGCGUAAAGCGCACGCAGGCGGUUUGUUAAGUCAGAUGUGAAAUCCCCGGGCUCAACCUGGGAACUGCAUCUGAUACUGGCAAGCUUGAGUCUCGUAGAGGGGGGUAGAAUUCCAGGUGUAGCGGUGAAAUGCGUAGAGAUCUGGAGGAAUACCGGUGGCGAAGGCGGCCCCCUGGACGAAGACUGACGCUCAGGUGCGAAAGCGUGGGGAGCAAACAGGAUUAGAUACCCUGGUAGUCCACGCCGUAAACGAUGUCGACUUGGAGGUUGUGCCCUUGAGGCGUGGCUUCCGGAGCUAACGCGUUAAGUCGACCGCCUGGGGAGUACGGCCGCAAGGUUAAAACUCAAAUGAAUUGACGGGGGCCCGCACAAGCGGUGGAGCAUGUGGUUUAAUUCGAUGCAACGCGAAGAACCUUACCUGGUCUUGACAUCCACGGAAGUUUUCAGAGAUGAGAAUGUGCCUUCGGGAACCGUGAGACAGGUGCUGCAUGGCUGUCGUCAGCUCGUGUUGUGAAAUGUUGGGUUAAGUCCCGCAACGAGCGCAACCCUUAUCCUUUGUUGCCAGCGGUCCGGCCGGGAACUCAAAGGAGACUGCCAGUGAUAAACUGGAGGAAGGUGGGGAUGACGUCAAGUCAUCAUGGCCCUUACGACCAGGGCUACACACGUGCUACAAUGGCGCAUACAAAGAGAAGCGACCUCGCGAGAGCAAGCGGACCUCAUAAAGUGCGUCGUAGUCCGGAUUGGAGUCUGCAACUCGACUCCAUGAAGUCGGAAUCGCUAGUAAUCGUGGAUCAGAAUGCCACGGUGAAUACGUUCCCGGGCCUUGUACACACCGCCCGUCACACCAUGGGAGUGGGUUGCAAAAGAAGUAGGUAGCUUAACCUUCGGGAGGGCGCUUACCACUUUGUGAUUCAUGACUGGGGUGAAGUCGUAACAAGGUAACCGUAGGGGAACCUGCGGUUGGAUCACCUCCUUACCUUAAAGAAGC
rnacentral:rRNA from 1 species